rnacentral:tRNA from 1 species
GCCCCGGUAGCUCAAUGGUAGAGCAUUUGCCUCGUAAGCAAAAGGUUGUGGGUUCAAAUCCCAUCUGGGGCU